CGGGAGCGAAGAACAGAAGCGAUGGAUGGUUACGCUGGUUGACUCUCGGCAUGUUCAAAAUGGCGAAGUUCCGAAUUUGUCGCUGUGUGACGUGCGCGUGUGUGCUCGUGAUGUGCCGUCAUAGCGCGGGGAUAUUUGUGCUGAAUGUGUUUCACUUCGUCUACAAAACUCUGCACGCAAUGGCAUCGAAGAAGUCGUGUGUUCAGGUGCACGUAUGUGCAUGCUUGGAUACGGAAAGCCUGCCCUCAACGGUAGCGCUGAGCUCAGUCGUGUUGGCUCAGCGCUACCCCCUCAACGGAUGUUCAACAGUCUACGUGCUCGUAACUUGCUGACGAGACCUCCUUGCUGUUGCAACUCUGAGGACAAUUGCUUCAAAUGGGAAGGAACAACCAGCACUGCCAGCGCUAUUUGUACACGAGGACACCUCCUUGCUGUUGCAACUCUGAGGACAAUUGCUUCAAAUGGGAAGGAACAACCAGCAGUGCCAGCGCUAUUUGUACUUGAGGACGUAAGUUCCUUCACAUUAUUGUUAAUGAAAUCAGAUCUAAACAAUGCUGUUAUUCCUCAAAUGGCUUCAAUCGUAGAAACAGUUUGGCAACUGUAUAAAGAUCCAGAUGGUUUUUUUUUAAAUGUGAACUGACAUGCUACCUAAUUUCACCAGCUAUUUAUUCAUUUUUAUUUAUUCAUUCUACCGGUAAAGGCCCUCAAAGGGAGUGUAUUACAUAGGGGGGGGGGGCGAUACAAUGAUUAAUAAGUGCUGUACAUGUUAGGAAGAACAACAACAAUACAUGUAUAAAUAAUAAAAAACGGCAAUUAAAUCAUAAGUCAAUAUACAAAACGUAAGGAUGAACAAACGAACAAUUUUGAACUGCUCUUGCACUCGAUGUGAGGCGCAUCUAUGCUGCAAAAAUGACCUUGCU